rnacentral:rRNA from 1 species
GAUGAACGCUAGCGGCAGGCCUAAUACAUGCAAGUCGAACGGUAACAUGAGUAGCAAUACUUGAUGACGAGUGGCGCACGGGUGCGUAACGCGUAUGCAAUCUACCUUUAACCGGGUGAAUAGCCCGAAGAAAUUCGGAUUAAUACACCAUAGUAUGAUGAGGAGGCAUCUCCUUAUCAUUAAAGUUCCGACAGUUAAAGAUGAGCAUGCGUGACAUUAGCUAGUUGGUGAGGUAACGGCUCACCAAGGCCACGAUGUCUAGGGGAUCUGAGAGGAUUAACCCCCANACUGGUACUGAGACAGGGACCAGACUCCUACGGGAGCAGCAGUAAGGAAUAUUGGACAAUGGUGGCAACACUGAUCCAGCCAUGCCGCGUGAAGGAUG